GGCCCCGAGGUGUGAACAUGUCAGACUGCAAAUCUGAAGUUGGCUGCUGCCCGGGGCUU
rnacentral:tRNA from 1 species